UCAGCGGGUCAAAUUAAUUCAUUUUUAAGCAACACAAGAGCAGAGCCAAUGGCACAAUAAUCAUUUUAUUAUGAUAAUGAAGCCAGAAUUGUAAUUGAAAUCAAAUUUCGAUUACUCACCAAGCACUAAUAGCUGUGCAGAUGUUAAAUGUCUGUGUGUGUGAGAGUAGGGGGGCUGCAGGGAAAGGAAUGAUUGCUAAGCUACGCAACUGUACAAAGUCAAUCUAUAAGUGCACAGAUUGAUGACAUACCUUUUGGCUCUUAACUUGCUCAAAAUUCGUUGAACGUGUUAUGCAACACAAGCUGUUACCUCAGGAAACACCACUUCGUUUGUUUGCCUUAGUCACUGUUAAAAUGCAGCACAAAACUGUUGUUUGAACAACCAGUCACGUACCUCUACCUUUGAAAGUUCCUCUCAGCCCAUACCAGUUCUAGGUGCUGUCACAACCGAAGUCAUGAAAUGUUAUAAAAAGGUAGAUUGACCAAAGGAGACCAAAGAUGCAAACAUGUCAAACAGACAGCCAUGUUCUUCCUAUUCUCUAGGAGGAAGACUGCUGCAGGGGAUGACCACUGGGGUGAAUAGGAAUCAAAUGUAGUCUGGCAAAGUUUUUUGUUGUUCCCUGGCGCCACACAGCUAAAUUAUAUUGGCACGUCAUUCGGCCGUGUUUUGUUGGGAACCAGUUGUUGCUGCAUAGCAUUGUAAUGAUAUUUUGAAUGUGAUAAGACACAAAUAGCAUGGGUGUGUAUUUACUGAUAACUUGAACCAAAAGCUUUCUUGUCUUCUUGUUGACUGUACUUAGUGACUGUGAACAGACAUUCAUUUCUGAAAUUGAAAAGAAGCAAUAGUUUUAUCCAGCAAUGUUUACAAAGUAAACCUCAUGGUUAAAAAUAACAAUGUGGUCCUUUGCUCUAGUGUGCCCUCUUCAUCAAUCUUAACCUAAAUAGACUCAGAGUAGAACAGAGGCGCAUUAAGAAGCCUAGAAUGGUCUAUCAGUACUUUGGUUUAAAAGAAGUCAACCAUUAGGAAACUACUGAACUCCCUACCUUCCUGUGGAAGUGGUGGGCAGACAGGGACACUUUUAUAAAGCCUAAGCUGCCUACAAUUACGUUUCAGUUUGAACUAAAGUGACUAUUCAUUAGAAAAUUUGCAGAGAGAUCGAGGUUUCUGAUUUGAAACAUAAAGUUCUUUCACACACUAGCCUGUCAAACCCUGAUAAAUCACAGUCAGUGAUAGACAAGUGAAGUGGGGUCUGCUCCGUAUCCCUUGACACCUCUGGUGACCCUUAGACUCCCUGGGGUCACGGGUCAGAAGCACUGCUCAGCUGGGGCUAAAAAAGGGAAGUAACCUUAUCUACUGUGUAAAAACGAGGCUUCCUUAAGUCACUGGGACAGGACACCCACACACAUUAAUCACUACAAUACAUUGCCAAUACUAAAGCAAGAAAAGUGUUCCUUUUUUAUGAACAUUAAUAUAUUACAUGCAAGACAAAAAUGUGCCUGGGGUCCAGUACAUUUUUGGAGCUAUUUUAUCAAAUAUUUGCAUGGGGAGGAAAUAGUGAUUAGGACAGUCUAAAGCCCAGCCUUCCUCCUCAAAGACUGAAAAUAGGAUUUUUAUCCGUGUGAUGUUAAAACUCUGCCAAAAUCCUCUUGUGCAAAGCCACAAAGAUUAGAUCUGAACUCAGAACAUAUGCUAAAUCUUCAAAUGCAGUUGGAAGGGAUCAAAGCUCUACAAUAAAAGGUUUCGGAUAUUAAAACAUCGUAACCUAAACAGCAGCUAUUUCCUCCACUUCAAUAUGAUGAAUGAUAUACUGCGUCUGGAGACACAAAGGAAAUCUUAAGUAGAUCAGAUCUCCUUUCAUGAAACUAGGGAACAUUUUUUCUGUGAUAGUGCAGCACAUUGUCAUAUACAUUUUGCUGAAUCCAAAAAAACACGUUGCCUCAUACAUUUUUGAAACACUACAAAAAGUUGCCGACAAACUUUAACUCCAACUUUUGAUAUAGCUUAUCACCUUAAAAAGCAUUUCAGCAUUAAUUGGGUUUUGGUCUAAAACUAAAUCUAAAAAUGUAAUCUUGACAGAAAUAUACAUACAUGUGCACACAUACCCAAAUUGGGAGUGGUAGGGUUCAAAGAGGGCUGGCUUUGGUUUCCCACAGCCUUGAAAAAUGUUGCCAUUAGCUGGUCUAUACUACUAACCCUAAUCCUAAACAUGAAUUUUUUUCUGUGCUUCUUUCUCUCUCUAAUCAUGUUUUAUACUCUACAUUUCAGACCAACUAUGGAGCCUGUGGCUAUUCAGACUGGUUCCUUUCCCACAUUCCCCAUUUCCAUAUGGAAAGCCACUUCAUAUAGUGUGCAGCAAUGGGACACUAUGACACCAAUAGUGGAUAAUGUAGUUCUAUGUUUUAACAUUUUGCUUCAUAGAACAAAUGCAGCAAAAACCACUCACACUAUUGAACCUAUUUCUAAUGUUGAGAUGAUGUCAUUGUCCAAGCCACUGCUAGGUUUCUUCAACAAAAAAACACCUAAAUGUGAUCAAAAUGUUUCCAAGAUGCCUAGUGGAACAGAUCCGUAGUUACUUGGCGUUUCAUGCAGAGCGCUCCUUAAAGGAACAAGUGGCCCUCUAUUCUGCUCAGUGACAAAUGCAUGGGGGUGUUUGAGAAUGUGACUUUGCACUAAUUGCACCAACACUGUGAUCAAAUUUUUUCCCCUUAAAAUGUCUUAAAGGGGAAAACAGAGAACCAGUCAGUGGAAUCGUAGACAAACAGCCAUUGACCAAAGGCCUGAAUGUGAACUUGCGGUCAGGGGAGGGAGGGGAGGCAGUGCCUCACCUGCCAUCAUGAUAAAAAAGAAACAAACACAUAAAAUAAAUAUGAAUAUUUUCCACUGAUCUGUGUUCAAUAUGCUUUUUCGGUAUGACUCUACACAUUGUGCCUCACAUCCAAAUGCGCGACCCAAUACAAACUGGGUCACAUGACGCGGGUCCGUUUCCGUUCCAGCCAAUACAAUACUCUGGCUCACAUCAAGGGUUCGUACGUGAACUGAAAGUCGACGUCAAGGUAGAGCCAGUAGUAAGUGAAGAAGAGCGUUUUCUAUGUACUUCCGGAUCCGACUCACCGAUUGACGGAUUGUAUUUCCGGACGGAAAUAUUUCUCUAAAGUGGACUUUCCAAACGACGGGACAGAAGAGUCGUUCUUUUUAAAUGUACUGAUACAAACGAAAAGGCUGGCUGUGCGUAAGUCCUGUAAGAAACUGCGGUUACUGCUUUUCUUGCUUUUUUAAAUUCUCAUUGUGUGAUAACGUGUGGACUAACUCGGGAUACUGUGACCUGAAACAUUUACAAAGAAGCCUCAGCAAACAUGAAAGAUCCGCCCCGCACAUUCAAAGCCAGGUUUCUUUAAGAACUUCUGGAAAUUCAAGGCUCGAUUUGGCAUUGGAUGAGCAACGGAGACUAAACAUUAGCCUCCAUAAUGCUAAGGUGGGGGAAAACCGAGAGACACAACCAUGGACUUCAUCCAUAAGUAAAGGGGGCAAACAUUCUUCCGCCUGAGCACGUCAGCAACACAAAUACAAGUUGUGGGAGGUGAGGUGAGGUCGUUAGAGGCCACUGUUUGUCUGGUCUCUGUGGACCACCCACAGAAGCCUUCUCCAAUGAGCAGCAGAUGGAAAAAGAAAGACAAGGAUAACAGACAAGGACUAAUAUCACCUCAAGAGAGACAGUUGGCUUUUCUGUCACUCCUUCCUUCCAUCCUGCCAUUAUUCUUCUAAUGAUAAAACCAGAGCACUUUAACUAGCACCACAUACAGAGUUAAGUCAAAGGUCAUUUGUUUUUUUAAAUGGACAGAUCUGGUCUGUGUGUGUGUGUGUGUGUGUCUAAUGCACUUCUUCCUGAGUAUUAGAGAAGACCCGGUCAAUUCACUGACGUUCCCACGUCUCUUUCCAAAGCCACAAUAGCUACAUAAUAGAAGACAGUCCUUCUUUACACGCAAAUGAAUACUAGGCCAUACUCUGGCGAAGACACAUGUAAUUUAAGAUGGCCACACUGUAUAUCACCCACACCAAGCUUUGUAGGAAACAAUCAAUAAGUUGUCAUGUACAUCAAGCAAGUUAGUCUGUGUUUUAAUACAAAGAAAGUGAAGGAAUCACAAUGAGAUGGAACAGUUCACAGUUUGGUGUAUGGUUGACUAAGAUUUGUAAAAUGUUGAGUGUGAGACGCAAACCAACAUUAACAAUGUAAGUAAAUCAUGGCUAGUGAGAAGUGCAAGCCACAUCCUGACCACACACACGAAAACACACGAAGCCCCUCCACCCUUCCUACAGAGAUCUGUCCAGCAAGACCCUUUAAAGGAGUGGUGUGUGUGUGUGUCGUGUCUGUGUGUGGGUGCAUGAGUGGUAAAGAGAAAGGCUUGCCUGCAACAUCGGGGGUAUAACAACUAUUUUUUUGCAUUCUUACAUAAAUAGCUCCUGUACAAACAGUGAACUGACUACAAAUGUGUUUUUAUUCUCACUUGGCUCCAAUGCGUAGGUUCUGCUGAGGCUCUUUGACUAUAUCGGUUUGAUACCACAUCUGACAGAUUUUUACCUAACAAAAUAUAUUUUCUGCCCAGUCUGUCUCAUGUUUUUACUCUCUCUCAAACUUUUAGGUCCUGUACAUUCUGCCCCACUCCAAAACCGGCAGCUUGUGCUCUGCCUCCUUGGGAAACCCCAUGACCACAAAAGGCCAGACAGACAGAAAAGGCUCAUGGGGUAUUUCAUUCAACUACCAGCCAAGUGUUCAAGGUUAGGGUUUUCAGCAACACGAAGCUUUAAGUUAUGAAAACACACACAUGUACUCAGACACAUUCUCACCACCUUGGGACAGUGUGUAUUCUCCUGUUACAGCCUGCAAAGGCUCAGAGACAGUUUGGGGGAAACAUAACACAGACUAUAUAAUGUUGAUAAGAACAAUGAAAGCUUUGUGUGAAGAAACAAACCUGAGGCAGAUCUUCUUAAGCCAAUGCUGAAAUGCAGAGUAUUAAUAAAUAUAUAAAAACCUAUGACAGAGCAAUUGAAAUCCAGCCUCUGGUAUGUGAAGGAUUUUUCUGUGUGCAAUGUGAAUAUUUGAUGCCUUCACAAGCUGUUGUCUUUUAGCUACUGGUUCCCAGAAUUAUAACAGUGUAUCUGUGUGGAAAGUCUCUGGCUGAACCUUGGUCCAAAGAGGACCUGGCAGGAUGCUACACAGAUGAGCGCUAGGCUGAAACAAAGGCUGAAUAGGGAGAGCGGAGGGAAAAUGUCAAGGCUAAAAUUUGGACAGGACGUGAGUCUUUCUUUCAUUAAAUCUUCAGACUGCGGGGACAUAUAAACCAGACCUCAUAUGUGACAAAGACAGGUUGAAUUAACAGAUACACAAGCCAGUGUGUUUCAAGAAAUUCUGCUAAAAGCUAACCUCACACUGUUCGAGGCACUGUUCUUAAUCUUCUCCUUGUCACUGACUGUCACAGUCACUCUUUUUCUGUUUCUACUGUGUCCAUCAGCUGUUCUUUAGAUAGAAAAGUGUGAAAAUGAACGACAUUAUUUGUAUUUGGAUGCUUUUCUCUGAUGAUGACAUUUCAAGACCUGUGAGCAAAGGGAGAGUCAGGUG